AAGCCAUGAUUAGGACACCUUCUUAACAUUACUUUAAAACGUUCCCAAGCUUCACAAAAGGGUUCAUCUUGCCCUUUCCUAAAUGUGGAGGUAUCAGACUUAGCCU
rfam:Phaseolus vulgaris cultivar G19833 chromosome 10, whole genome shotgun sequence.